rnacentral:rRNA from 1 species
UACAUAGACCUCAAGCGUUAUCCGGAUUUACUGGGCGUAAAGCGUGCGUAGGCGUUUUCGUUAAGUUUCUAGUGAAAGCCCUCGGCUCAACUGAGGAAUUGUUAGAGAUACUGGCGGAAUAGAGUAUGGCAGAGGCAGACGGAAUUCUUGGUGUAGCGGUAAAAUGCGUUGAUAUCAAGAAGAACACCAGUGGCGAAGGCGGUCUGCUGGGCCAGUACUGACGCUGAGGUACGAAAGCGUGGGUAGCGAACGGG